GCGGCUCCUUCCUCUCGGAGCCUUGUGUUUCCAGCCGGAACGUAUUCGCAAAGGACCCAAAACACGACCCUGCUUCCCAGGGACUUCCCCUAGAAGUCAUGGCUCGGGCCUUCCCUAAAAGCAAUCUCACUGGCCACCGUUUAUGCUGGGCUGGACCAGAGAGGCAGCCCGAAUAGCUGACCCAACCCGAGCAGGAUCCGCCAGCCCCAGCGUGGAGGAGCUUGGAGAAAGAGCGGAUCGCUGAAGUUCAUCAGGGAAUUAAAACCAGGCACUUGUUCAUUAAAAGAGAGAGAGAGAGAUCUGAGGAUUCCCCAUGACUUAUUUCCUCUGGAAAGCCACUUUUGACUUCUGCCUACCUCCAUCUCCCAGGCAGAGUGAGGCACCCCUGCAGCUCCUCUCCUGUGUGGCUUUUAGGCCAUUCUUUCUAGAGGAAUCCUAAUGCUCUCACCAAAUGGUGUUCCCCUGCAGCUCAGAACCCUCCCAUGAUGCCCCAGUGCCUCUGGCACAAAGUCCAAGUUCUUUAGUCAGGUACUUGUAGAUAUCUCCACCAGCAUCGUCUCUUGCUUGGUACAUUGUCUGUGCUCAGUUGCCCUGAAAAAUGAAUAGUUCGUGGCCAGCAUGGUGGCUCACACCUGUAAUUCCAGCAUACUGGGAAGUCAAGGCAGGAGGACUGCUUGUGCCCAAGAGU